CACGUAGGGGCCAAGCGUUGUCCGGAUUCAUUGGGCGUAAAGAGCUCGUAGGCGGUUCAGUUAGUCGGGUGUGAAAUCUCCGGGCUCAACCCGGAGGGGCCACCCGAUACUGCUGUGACUUGAGUCCGGUAGGGGAGUGGGGAAUUCCUGGUGUAGCGGUGAAAUGCGCGGAUAUCAGGAGGAACACCGGUGGCGAAGGCGCCACUCUGGGCCGGUACUGACGCUGAGGAGCGAAAGCGUGGGUAGCAAACAGG
rnacentral:rRNA from 1 species